UCAAGGUGGUAGACGUUCAAUUGGAGUUUGCCAAAUUAUCCUUUUUUUCCGCAUGAGAGUCGUAUUUCACUCCUCCUUAAUUUUUCGUGGCGGAAUUCAUUUGUUGUGGUGUUUUUACGAAAAAGUUUAUUACGCGAUCAGUCUAUGGCAGUUGCGGUUUUCUUUGCAGUUUUACUUCCUGAGCAAGAAUUUUAAGUAAUAUUUAUUCGAACGACGGUAAUUAACCACCGGGGCCCAGUACCAAAUACGGCGAAAUACAUUGGACGCCCCAAUCCCUAGUGGAUGUCGUAUUCGCGGUUACGUUCCUUGCAGUCCGUGCGGAACUAUUCUGUAGAAUUACCCUUUAAGGAUGUUAUUGGUAACAAUUUGACAUUGCCACUUUUCUAACGGUAAAGCCUACUCGUGAUAAAGCUGCUCUCUUCAGCAACAGGUGCGGGUAAAUCAAGAAUUGUGGUUGUGAAGUAAAAGCGUGCAGAGCGUUUUUUCAGGGGAUGGUUAAGGGGGACCCAUCGGAAAUUGUAUUCUCAACAGGGGAGCACUUAUACAGCAUCAAUGUAAAUAGAGUAAAAUAGAAUAUUGUCCUCUUUUCUAUGAAGCCAAAGCCUCGACAUCACAAGAGACCGCCAGCAUUGAUUGGGAUUAUGUUCCCUAUAAGAUGAGCCGUUGACUGGACUGAACUUUUAUCACGAAGUAUUCGUCAGUGGUGACAACGGAAUAGUAGUGUUCCCACAAUUCCAUUAGGAGGAUGGCUUGGAUAUACCGCUAUCGUACUGCAUAUUGGAAUCGGGGGAACCAUUUUGGCUAUGUGAUACUGAUUUAGAAGGUGAAAGAAUGCUAAUUUUAGCCUGGUCAGCAGGGCUGGAUGAUCUUGUUAAAAUUCGUGAAGGGCUA